CACCAGGUGGCGCUCGCUCCCCCAUUUCCCCCCCCCUCCCGCGCCGACGCCCGUGACGUCAGCCGCCCGGCUCCAUUUGAGCGCCUCUCGGCAGCCGAGAACUCGGACUUCCCGUGUGGCUCACAACAUAACUACUCGGCGUUGCUUCUACAGUGGCUGUGGCUCGACCCCUGGCCUGGGAACUUCCAUAUGCCGCAGCCCCGCGGCGGCAGAUGGCACUCGUUCUGCCGCUUUUUCCUGGCUGUGUGCGAUGCCAUCGCAUAGAUGUCCCCGGGUCUGCGAAGUGCACUCACCUGUCAGUGGACCUUUAGGUGGCUUCCAGAUCUUGGCUCUGCCCCGCGGCGGCAGAUGGCACUCGUUCUGCCGCUUUUUCCUGGCUGUGUGCGAUGCCAUCGCAUAGAUGUCCCCGGCUGCGAAGUGCACUCACCUGUCAGUGGACCUUUAGGUGGCUUCCAGAUCUUGGCUCUGGUGAGUAGUGCGGCGACAGACAGAGGGGUGCCCGGGUCUGCUUCCGGGAAAGUUUGGUCCCGGUGAAAUGGAGCUG
rnacentral:lncRNA from 1 species